rnacentral:lncRNA from 1 species
UGGUGUUUGAUAUGUGCUUGCUGAAUGCCAGUUUGUGCCAGGAGGUGCAAAGAUCAAUAAGUCACAGGUCCUUCCCUCAAGUACCUUACAGUCCAGCAGAGGAGAUAGACAAGAAAACAAACACAACAGUAAAGUCAUAAAUAGAAAUUUAUACAAAGACCAACGUAGCAGAGAGGGAGGAGUGAUUAACUUGAAAGUUAUACCAGAAGAAAACUUCAAAGUCUGCAGCAUCUGAUGGAUUGCAGGUGCAAGGCCCCUUUAGAACAGCUGCACUCCUGAACUUUUCUCUAACAUGGAUUUGUAUGUAUUAAAGCCUAUAUCAUUUCAUUAUACAACUGGAUGUAUGUGUAUUAAAAUCACAUUUGAUAAUUCAACUCAUUAAAUGACCUAAUGACUCUUUUGCUUUGCUUUCCUCCCUUUCUCAGCAAGCAAAAAAGUUUCUUAACUGAGCAGUCACAUUGGAUUGAAGAGGCAUCUGUUUCUAACAAAUUGACACUUCAUUAUUUUCCAUUGGGAGCAAAUGUGCACCUCCUUUUGAUCACUCAGAGCUUGUUAUACAGAACAAUAAGAAGGCACUGUGUUAGAAUCACCAGGCCCCUCUAAACCAGAGAAAAUGCAGAAAUACCAAAGAGGUUGAGCCUAAUUAUUUCAGUAAAUGAAGCAAGAGGGUGGGGCAUGUUACUGGAAUAUAGGACUGAAUGUAACUUGAAAAUUAUAUAAAAGAAGCUUUGGGAUAAAGUGUAAUUGAGUUAGUUUGCUAGUUUCUAAAUUCUGUAAUAGUGAAUUUCAUGUAUCAGGUUUCUAUGUAACGAGGUGUGUAUGUGAGAGCUACAUAUACAAAUCUACUUCUUAAGUAUUUCCCAAAUGAUUUGUGACAUUUAGGGGGAACUCCAUGGGACAUUAAUACUAGAAAACUCUCUUACCUGUAUAGAAGAAAAACAUUUUAUAAUGUUAAUCGUCAUAAUAUUUCUCUUGUAGAAAAUAGUUGGAGAAAUCUAAGGUUGAAAACAACAUAUGUUCUCUAUAUUAAAACGUCAAGAGCUGUACUGAGGAAGUUUGUGGAGUGGGUGGUAGUGACAGAGACAUACUCAGGAAGGCUGGACCCAUGGAGGCUGCCCACCUUGUUCAUUGAUUUCUACUUGAUUGAUUCCUUCUUGAUUGAUUUCCAGGAUCUCUGAAACGAGAAGCCCUCCCCUUUAUAUGUUUAAUCAGAUAUUGCAAAGUGGACCUGAGAACGAGCCCGUCGGAAGCAGAUUAUGAAGGGGCCUAUGUUUUGAAUAUGCUGAACUGCUUUGGUUUGUGACUGGGGAAGAUUAAAGGCCUACAACAAAAAUGAGUGCUGGAUAUUGCUGACAAGAGAGGCUUCCUGUAAUUUCUCAGGCCAUAAGUAUUUAAGGGUCCACUGUUGACGCCAGCAUUGCAUUUCCCAUGUUCCUGCUUGACACACCUGUGCAGGUGGCAUGGUUUUAGCAGACCGAUCCAGAGAGAAGUAUCUGCAUUACAGUUAGACUGGAAGAAAAGUUAUUAAGUUGAGACUUUAAGGUAACCAGCCUUACCGACGUCACAGAAGUGUGUACGGAGAAGAGUUCCUGCCAGCUCAAGUAUUGUCUCCUCUGAUCAGAGUUCUCCUUGCACAGCUUAUUUCUGCUGUGAUAGAAAAACAGUCUGGGUGUCACAGAGAGAACUGAAGACAGGAAGUGGGAACUCUCCCUUCUGAAUACAGCACUAGAGUUAAUGUUAAGAGUGAGGGAAAAAAGCUAAGAGUAAUUCCUAUUGGUGAACUCAUUCAAUAUUCACAGACACCUAGGAGAUAGAUAUUCUUCUUCUUCUUCCCAUCUUCUAAGAAACUGAGGCCCAGAGAGGUUGAGUAAAUUACUCAAGAUUAAAUAGCACAGAUGGCAGAACAAAGAUGCAAACUCAGAAA